UCCCCACCUCUUGGCCAUACUUGCCCGGAACUCAGCCUCAGCCACAGGUAGCUGGGGCAGCAUGAGAAAUGCUGAUGUCCGGCUCCUCCCCGGAAGAAAGCCCCUCACGGGGAGCUGAGGGGAGAGUGAGCCCUGUGCUCUUGGCUGCAGUCUGGAGUGGACUUUUUUCUCGCAUAAACCCACAAGGUUGAGGAGGAGAGGAGUAGAGAUCACAGCAACGCAAUUCUGGAAAUGGAAAGCAGAAGGAUAAGAGUCAACAGGAUGUGUGAGGACUGCCACGACAGCAGAGUGAACACGCCAGCAUCCUCUCCUAAGUAAACUUCAGACUUCCAUUACUAACACCAACAUCCGUCCUGCUGCUUAAUCCUCUUAAUCCCUCUAACGCACUCACGACCCGGGGACAACUUUUGCAUGCUGUUACCUGCUCUCAUUUUCAUACACUUCAAAAAACCCCAAAUGAUGCCUGAUUACCAAAAGAGCAAGAACAAAAUCUGCUGACCGAGAAGCAGCUGGGAGAACAGCGGUGGACAAAGCAGAAAACCGCGAGCAGUGUUAGCCGCACUUCAACAUUUUCAAUCCUCUCCAUCUGCCGACUUAGAAACAUGAGCCCCAGGAAUGUGAAAAAUGAGGAACAAUGUUAAUUAAAGGCAGAUGGAUUAGCAAUAGUGGGGACCUGAUCAGUGACUCCUGAAAGGAGGGAGGAAAAGAGAGAGACCGGGAUUAAUGAAAGACAAAUGAUGCUGCAACCUUGAACGGAGGAUCAUGGCUCCACCCGUUGGUCAAGUCCUCUAUUCCUGGCCCCUGCUUUGAAUCCUUACAAGUUCACUCCUGGUGGGAAGAGCCUUAGGGUUUGGAAGCUUGAACUUGCCCUUGGAGUUCUUGGUCCAAGCUGGAAUGGGUCAAGGAAAAGGGUGGGAGCUAUUUAGUAUGACAACUUCUCUCACUGAA